rnacentral:rRNA from 1 species
GACGAACGCUGGCGGCGUGCUUAACACAUGCAAGUCGAACGAAGUGGCGAACGGGUGAGUAACGCGUAAUCAACCUGCCCUUCAGAGGGGGAAAACAGUUGGAAACGACUGCUAAUACCGCAUACGGAAGGAGGGGAUUGCGUCCGAUUAGCUAGUUGGAGUGGGAACGGCCCACCAAGGCGAUGAUCAGUAGGCGGUCUGAGCGGAUGAACCGCCCCAUUGUGACUGAGACACGGCCCAGACUCCUACGGAGUGCAGCAGUGGGGAAUCUUCCGCAAUUGACGAAAGUCUGACGGAGCAACGCCGCGUGAGUGAUGACGGCCUUCGGGUUGUAAAGCUCUGUUAAUCGGGACGCGGUACCGGAAUAGAAAGCCACGGCUAACUACGUGCCAGCCGCCGCGGUAAUUC